UUCGCAAUGCCCGAAAGGGUGACGAAGCGACGCCGUGUGUGGGAAGAAGGCCUUCGGGUUGUAAACCACUGUCGGGAGUUAAGAAAUGUAAGGAUGUUAAUAGCGUCCUUACUUGACUAAGGCUCCAGAGGAAGCCACGGCUAACUCUGUGCCAGCAGCCGCGGUAAUACAGAGGCGGCAAGCGUUGUUCGGAAUUAUUGGGCGUAAAGAGCACGUAGGCGGCUUUGCAAGUCAGUUGUGAAAGCCUUCCGCUUAACGGAAGAACAGCAGCUGAUACUACAGAGCUUGAGUACGGGAGGGGAGAGUGGAACUUCCGGUGGAGCGGUGAAAUGCGUAGAUAUCAGAAGGAACGCCGGCGGCGAAAGCGAUUCUCUGGUCCGAAACUGACGCUGAGUGUGCGAAAGCUAGGGGAUCAAACGGGAUUAGAUACCCCGGCAGUCCUAGCCGUAAACGAUGGGCACUAAGUAGAGGGGUUUU
rnacentral:rRNA from 1 species